rnacentral:rRNA from 1 species
GACGAACGCUGGCGGCGUGCCUAAUACAUGCAAGUCGAGCGAGCUUGCCUAGAUGAAUUUGGUGCUUGCACCAGAUGAAACUAGAUACAAGCGAGGGCGGACGGGUGAGUAACACGUGGGUAACCUGCCCAAGAGACUGGGAUAACACCUGGAAACAGAUGCUAAUACCGGAUAACAACACUAGACGCAUGUCUAGAGUUUAAAAGAUGGUUCUGCUAUCACUCUUGGAUGGACCUGCGGUGCAUUAGCUAGUUGGUAAGGCAACGGCUUACCAAGGCAAUGAUGCAUAGCCGAGUUGAGAGACUGAUCGGCCACAUUGGGACUGAGACACGGCCCAAACUCCUACGGGAGGCAGCAGUAGGGAAUCUUCCACAAUGGACGCAAGUCUGAUGGAGCAACGCCGCGUGAGUGAAGAAGGGUUUCGGCUCGUAAAGCUCUGUUGGUAGUGAAGAAAGAUAGAGGUAGUAACUGGCCUUUAUUUGACGGUAAUUACUUAGAAAGUCACGGCUAACUACGU